UUGCCUAUGCGCAAACGGAGGAAAAGAAACUAACAAGGAUUCCCCUAGUAGCGGCGAGCGAAGCGGGAAGAGCUCAAAUUUAUAAUCUGGCACCUUCGGUGUCCGAGUUGUAAUCUCUAGAAAUGUUUUCCGCGUUGGACCGCACACAAGUCUGUUGGAAUACAGCGGCAUAGUGGUGAGACCCCCGUAUAUGGUGCGGACGCCCAGCGCUUUGUGAUACAUUUUCGAAGAGUCGAGUUGUUUGGGAAUGCAGCUCAAAUUGGGUGGUAAAUUCCAUCUAAAGCUAAAUAUUGGCGAGAGACCGAUAGCGAACAAGUACCGUGAGGGAAAGAUGAAAAGCACUUUGGAAAGAGAGUUAACAGUACGUGAAAUUGUUGGAAGGGAAACGCUUGAAGUCAGACUUGCUUGCCGAGCAAUCGGUUUGCAGGCCAGCAUCAGUUUUCCGGGAUGGAUAAUGGUAGAGAGAAGGUAGCAGUUUCGGCUGUGUUAUAGCUCUCUGCUGGAUACAUCUUGGGGGACUGAGGAACGCAGUGUGCCUUUUGGCGGGGGUUUCGACCUCUCACACUUAGGAUGCUGGGAGCC
rnacentral:rRNA from 1 species